UGGGGAAUAUUGCACAAUGGGGGAAACCCUGAUGCAGCGACGCCGCGUGAGUGAAGAAGUAAUUCGUUAUGUAAAGCUCUAUCAGCAGGGAAGAAAAGAGACGGUACCUGACUAAGAAGCCCCGGCUAACUACGUGCCAGCAGCCGCGGUAAUACGUAGGGGGCAAGCGUUAUCCGGAUUUACUGGGUGUAAAGGGAGCGCAGACGGCACAGCAAGUCUGGAGUGAAAGCCCGCGGCUCAACCGCGGGACUGCUCUGGAAACUGUUGAGCUUGAGUGCAGGAGAGGCAGGCGGAAUUCCUAGUGUAGCGGUGAAAUGCGUAGAUAUUAGGAGGAACACCAGUGGCGAAGGCGGCCUGCUGGACUGUAACUGACGUUGAGGCUCGAAAGCGUGGGGAGCAAACAGG
rnacentral:rRNA from 1 species